rnacentral:rRNA from 1 species
CAGGUGCUGCAUGGCUGUCGUCAGCUCGUGUUGUGAAAUGUUGGGUUAAGUCCCGCAACGAGCGCAACCCUUAUCCUUUGUUGCCAGCGGUCCGGCCGGGAACUCAAAGGAGACUGCCAGUGAUAAACUGGAGGAAGGUGGGGAUGACGUCAAGUCAUCAUGGCCCUUACGAGUAGGGCUACACACGUGCUACAAUGGCGCAUACAAAGAGAAGCGACCUCGCGAGAGCAAGCGGACCUCAUAAAGUGCGUCGUAGUCCGGAUUGGAGUCUGCAACUCGACUCCAUGAAGUCGGAAUCGCUAGUAAUCGUGGAUCAGAAUGCCACGGUGAAUACGUUCCCGGGCCUUGUACACACCGCCCGUCACACCAUGGGAGUGGGUUGCAAAAGAAGUAGGUAGCUUAACCUUCGGGAGGGCGCUUACCACUUUGUGAUUCAUGACUGGGGUGAAGUCGUAACAAGGUAACCGUAGGGGAACCUGCGGUUGGAUCACCUCCUUA